rnacentral:rRNA from 1 species
GAUGAACGCUGGCGGCGUGCCUAAUACAUGCAAGUCGAGCGAACAGACGAGGAGCUUGCUCCUCUGACGUUAGCGGCGGACGGGUGAGUAACACGUGGAUAACCUACCUAUAAGACUGGGAUAACUUCGGGAAACCGGAGCUAAUACCGGAUAAUAUAUUGAACCGCAUGGUUCAAUAGUGAAAGACGGUUUUGCUGUCACUUAUAGAUUGAUCCGCGCCGCAUUAGCUAGUUGGUAAGGUAACGGCUUACCAAGGCAACGAUGCGUAGCCGACAUGAGAGGGUGAUCGGCCACACGGGAACUGAGACACGGACCAGACACCUACGGGAGGGAGCAGUAGGGAAUCUUCCGCAAUGGGCGAAAGCAUGACGGAGCAACGCCGCGUGAGUGAUGAAGGUCUUCGGAUCGUAAAACUCUGUUAUUAGGGAAGAACAAAUGUGUAAGUAACUAUGCACGUCUUGACGGUACCUAAUCAGAAAGCCACGGCUAACUACGUG